GUCUAUGGCCAUACCACCCAGAACAUGCCCAGUGUCUUCCCAUCUCAGGAGCUAAGCAGGGUCGUGCCUGACUAGCUCUUGCAUGGGAGAAAUAUAUAAAGACAGGAAGUAGAUU
rnacentral:rRNA from 1 species